AUGCUUCUUCCUUAUUCUUCAUGUGCGAUAACAAUCGAAAGGGAUGGCUAUGGAUUGUGUUUGCUUCGGGGCGGAGCCGCUAGCUCGCACCGAUCGGAGGAAAAGAAGCUGAGGAGGUACUGCAAUGUGAGGAGGAAGAGGUUUUAUUUUGAAGGAGAAGUUCAAAAGACACUUUUUUAG